rnacentral:rRNA from 1 species
ACGAACGCUGGCGGCGCGCCUAACACAUGCAAGUCGCACGAGAAUUAGGUAGCAAUACCUAUAGUAAAGUGGCGCACGGGUGAGUAAGACGCAGGUAAUCUACCUUCUUGAUUGGAACAACCCGCGUAAGCGGAGCUAAUUCCGAAUACGGUCCCCGAAACAUGAAGUUUUGGGGAGGAAAGCUGGCCUCUGUAUACAAGCUAGCGCAGGAAGAUGAGUCUGCGGCCCAUCAGCUAGUUGGUAGGGUAAAAGCCUACCAAGGCUAUGACGGGUAGCUGGUUCUGAGAGGACGAUCAGCCACACUGGAACUGAAACACGGUCCAGACUCCUACGGGAGGCAGCAGUGGGGAAUAUUGGACAAUGGGGGAAACCCUGAUCUAGCGACGCCGCGUGAGGGAAGAAGGCCUUCGGGUUGUAAACCUCUGUCGGAGGGGACGAAACCAUCUAUGGCUAAUAUCCAUAGGUACUGACGGUACCCUCAAAGGAAGCACCGGCUAACUCCGUGCCAGCAGCCGCGGUAAUACGGAGGGUGCAAGCGUUGUUCGGAAUUACUGGGCGUAAAGCGUGUUUAGGUGGAUCUGCAUGUCAGGUGUGAAAGCCCCCGGCUUAACUGGGGAGGGUCGCUUGAAACUGCAGGUCUUGAGUGUCGGAGAGGUGAGCGGAAUUCCCAGUGUAGAGGUGAAAUUCGUAGAGAUUGGGAGGAACAUCGGAGGCGAAAGCGGCUCACUAGCCGAUUACUGACACUGUCACACGAAAGCGUGGGUAGCAAACAGGAUUAGAUACCCUGGUAGUCCACGCCGUAAACGAUGGAUACUAGAUGUUGGAGGAAUUGAUCCCUCCAGUGUCGUCGCUAACGCAUUAAGUAUCCCGCCUGGGAAGUACGGUCGCAGGACUAAAACUCAAAGGAAUAGACGGGGGCCCGCACAAGCGGUGGAGCAUGUGGUUCAAUUCGACGCAACGCGAAGAACCUUACCUGGACUUGACAUCUGGAGAAUUCCCUAGAAAUAGGGAAGUGCCGUAAGGAGCUCCAAGACAGGUGCUGCAUGGCUGUCGUCAGCUCGUGUCGUGAGAUGUUGGGUUAAGUCCCGCAACGAGCGCAACCCCUAGCUUUAGUUGCUAACAUUCAGUUGAGCACUCUAGAGCGACUGCCGGCGUCAAGCCGGAGGAAGGUGGGGAUGACGUCAAGUCCUCAUGGCCUUUAUGUCCAGGGCUACACACGUGCUACAAUUGGCCGGUACAAAGGGUUGCCAACCCGCGAGGGGGAGCUAAUCCCAAAAAACCGGUCUCAGUUCGGAUUGGAGUCUGCAACUCGACUCCAUGAAGCUGGAAUCGCUAGUAAUCGUGGAUCAGCAAUGCCACGGUGAAUACGUUCCCGGGCCUUGUACUCACCGCCCGUCACACCACGAAAGCCGAGUGUACCAGAAGUCGAUGCGCUAACCCGCAAGGGAGGCAGUCGCCCAAGGUA